GUAUUCUUUUGGAAGGAGAAACGGCUGAUAUCUCCCCUAACAGGGUCGAGAACGGACGUCGGGCUGUCCUGUUACCACAUAUCCGAUUUAGGCUUCCCACUUACGUGGAUCUUAUACCAAAUUUGU